GGGAAGUCUCACAAGCUGCAACUCAUGUACAAGAUCCUCUUACUCUAAGAGGCCUGGGAUCCUCCCCUCUUGCACAGUGAGGAAGCCCUUGUAUUGUGUUUGUGAAUCAUCCUAGAGGUGAUUGUUGCUUGGAGUUUCCUGCCACCUGGACAAUAAUGCCAAGCAAAGUGAGCAGUGCCAUUAAGCACUCAGGAGGGAUGGAACAAAGUUUCCUUCUUUUGCCUCAUACUCCCAAUGACCUGGCUUUCCUUUUAUCUGCUAAUGCAGCAAUGAGUCAAUCUUUGAAUAGUUGACAUGGAACAACUCAAAUCUAUAUUGCAUUGUCAUCAAGACAGAGCUUUGUGUAAGGUCCCUGUCUAAACAGAAGAAAACAGAAG
rnacentral:lncRNA from 1 species